AAGUAAAUCACAUGAGAGAUGUAGAAGAUAAUGAUUUUCAUUUAAUUAAUUAUAAUUUAGUUAAUUAAAAACUUGGUGAAACGACAUAUCUAUGCAACAAGAAAUAAGAAACAAAAGAAAGAACAACAGGAAGGAAAAACAAGGCCCUCUUCGAUAGAAUUUCAGAGCUUUCUAAUCUUUCUUCAACAAUGGUCUCUAACUUAGGGGAAGUCGAACAUUUCUGUGGCGAUAUGAGAAGAGCUGGUGCUACUUCCCGUAAUUGCUGGAUGCACCUAUUCACAUCCUUCACCAUUUUCAGUCUUUAAACAAGAAAUUGAUUAGCAGAUGUUGGAUUUUCUUUUAUUGAAUUCUUGAGUUCUUGGUGCCUAGAAAUUAAUAUGGUUUAGGAAGAGGCUUGAGGCUGCGUAUUCAUAUGUGGACGAAGUGGUUUAAAGUCUAUUGAGAGUAAAAUGGAAAUAUUGUUAGAGAGAUGGAAUUAGUCAA
rnacentral:lncRNA from 1 species